rnacentral:rRNA from 1 species
GUCCACGCCGUAAACGAUGAAUGCCAGUCGUCGGGUAGCAUGCUAUUCGGUGACACACCUAACGGAUUAAGCAUUCCGCCUGGGGAGUACGGCCGCAAGGUUAAAACUCAAAGGAAUUGACGGGGGCCCCGCACAAGCGGUGGAGCAUGUGGUUUAAUUCGAAGCAACGCGCAGAACAUUACCAACCCUUGACAUGGAUAUCGCGUCUCUGGAGACAGAGCUUUCAGUUCGGCUGGAUAUCACACAGGUGCUGCAUGGCUGUAGU